UACGUAGGGGGCAAGCGUUGUCCGGAUUUAUUGGGCGUAAAGAGCGUGUAGGCGGCUGGGUAGGUCCGUUGUGAAAACUCGAGGCUCAACCUCGAGACGCCGAUGGAAACCCUCCAGCUAGAGUCCGGAAGAGGAGAGUGGAAUUCCGUGGUGUAGCGGUGAAAUGCGCAGAUAUCAGGAAGAACACCCGUGGCUAAGGCGGCUCUCUAGUACGGUACUGACGCUGAGACGCGAAAGCGUGGGGAGCGAACAGG
rnacentral:rRNA from 1 species